CCUCUCUAUGUUUAGCCCCUUGUGGGUAGUAAAGAAAUAAAUAUUAACCCCAAUGUUUUGGGGCGUGGACCCUUCUUUGUUUUCUCCUUUUCCUUUUCAAUAAAUAAACUGUUAAAAUUUCUGUUCAAAUUAACUCCAUGCAUUUCUACAAUUUAUUUCUAUUAACUCAAUAUAUUAUGAAAGCUAAACUUGGAUUGUUACCUUAACUCAUGUUUCAAGUAUUUGCAGGCCUGCUGUUUCCAUAUGCCAUUCAUAUGUAUGUGUGCGUGUGUGUGUAUAUAUAUAUAUAUAUAUAUACAUACACACAUGCAUAUAGGCACAAUGAUACCAGCAUUGUUCACCUAAUACUGCUAUCCUAGAUAAUUAUUCCUAUUUCUGACACCCAAUUCACUAUUGCAGGAAGCACUACUGAAAGAAGCAACAAUUAAUCAGGCACUAAAUUCUGGAGGGCAGUGUUCUCACAAUCCACUUGCUCCAAUCAGCUACCAUCACCAAAGCAGAGAUGUUGAAGUUUGUUCGUUUUUUGCCAAAACUGGUGCAUGUCGAUUUGGAGAAAGGUGCUCUCGAAACCAUCCUGAACCAGAGGUGUGUACCACUUUAGUUUUUCCUGGAAUGUACACUCACAUGACAUUGGAUAAUGCUCAAGACGACUAUG
rnacentral:lncRNA from 1 species